rnacentral:rRNA from 1 species
AUAGUGGGGGAUAGCCUUUCGAAAGGAAGAUUAAUACCGCAUAAGAUUGUAGUAUCGCAUGAUAUAGCAAUUAAAGGAGCAAUCCGCUAUAAGAUGGACCCGCGUCGCAUUAGCUAGUUGGUGAGGUGAUGGCUCACCAAGGCGACGAUGCGUAGCCGACCUGAGAGGGUGAUCGGCCACAUUGGGACUGAGACACGGCCCAGACUCCUACGGGAGGCAGCAUG